rnacentral:rRNA from 1 species
UAAUGCCGGAUGUUCCACAUGAUCGCAUGUGAUUGUGGGAAAGAUUUCAUCGGCGUGGGAUGGGGUCGCGUCCUAUCAGCUUGUUGGUGAGGUAACGGCUCACCAAGGCUUCGACGGGUAGCCGGCCUGAGAGGGCGACCGGCCACAUUGGGACUGAGAUACGGCCCAGACUCCUACGGGAGGCAGCAGUGGGGAAUAUUGCACAAUGGGCGCAAGCCUGAUGCAGCGACGCCGCGUGAGGGAUGGAGGCCUUCGGGUUGUAAACCUCUUUUGUUUGGGAGCAAGCCUUCGGGUGAGUGUACCUUUCGAAUAAGCGCCGGCUAACUACGUGCCAGCAGCCGCGGUAAUACGUAGGGCGCAAGCGUUAUCCGGAUUUAUUGGGCGUAAAGGGCUCGUAGGCGGCUCGUCGCGUCCGGUGUGAAAGUCCAUCGCUUAACGGUGGAUCUGCGCCGGGUACGGGCGGGCUGGAGUGCGGUAGGGGAGACUGGAAUUCCCGGUGUAACGGUGGAAUGUGUAGAUAUCGGAA